GCAUUAACGUAAUGGUCAUAAUUUCCCUCUAGAMCUAGCUGCUAUCGAAGCUCCNUCUACAAAUGGAUAAAAUUUCGUUCUUAGUUUCGUUUUAGUGUAUACGAGUUAUUGAAAGUAAAGGGGCAGUACCUGUUUCUUGACAGAUCAAGAAAUUGGUUAUUGCUCCUUUACUAGUUAGUCUUUUUUGUUUUCUUUUUAUUAUUUUAUGAUUCACCCUAAGUAUUUAAAAUUUUUAAUUUUCUUAGGAUAAAAUUUUAUUUAGUAUUCAAUGAAAUAAAAAUAAUAGAAUUUCUAUAUGAUAGCGUCUUUAUAACCUUUUUCGUUUUAGGGUAGGGGGUUUAAUUGAAAUUUUUUGUUGAAUUUCAAUUCAGAAUUAACCMCMGACAAUAAACAAUUAAUCMUUAAUCGUUUUUUUUUUUAA
rnacentral:misc_RNA from 1 species